rnacentral:rRNA from 1 species
UACAGAGGUGGCAAGCGUUGUUCGGAAUUACUGGGCGUAAAGCGUGCGCAGGCGGUUUUGUAAGUUAGAGGUGAAAGCCCGGAGCUCAACUCCGGAACUGCCUUUAAGACUGCAUCGCUAGAAUUGUGGAGAGGUGAGUGGAAUUCCGAGUGUAGAGGUGAAAUUCGUAGAUAUUCGGAAGAACACCAGUGGCGAAGGCGACUCACUGGACACAUAUUGACGCUGAGGUGCGAAAGCGUGGGGAGCAAACAGG